CACGUAGGGUGCGAGCGUUGUCCGGAAUUAUUGGGCGUAAAGAGCUCGUAGGCGGUGUGUCGCGUCGGCCGUGAAAACCUGCAGCUUAACUGUGGGCUUGCGGUCGAUACGGGCAUCACUGGAGUUCGGCAGGGGGAGACUGGAAUUCCUGGUGUAGCGGUGAAAUGCGCAGAUAUCAGGAGGAACACCGGUGGCGAAGGCGGGUCUCUGGGACGGUACUGACGCUGAGACGCGAAAGCGUGGGGAGCGAACAGG
rnacentral:rRNA from 1 species